rnacentral:lncRNA from 1 species
UGUGAAGAUUCUCAGAAGUGUUGAAGACAGAACUGAAUUUAUGUACUACAUAAACUAGGCAUCAAUAUAUGAAGAAUCUCAUAAGAAAUAGCAUGCAAUUUUGAAUGCAAGUAAACCAAGACCUGCAUACUUUCCAUUACUUCUACCUUCCUGUGACCACCUGGUCAAAAGUUUAUGUUGCCUUCCUAUCUGGAUUGAUUUCUCAGUUCCUCAGUUUACGCAGCACCCUCCCUCCCACCCUACAUUGCCUAUGGGCCCUUUAACAGACGACUACAGACAUCGUGAAAGAGAGACAGAAUCAGCAGAGGAUGAGGUUCUGAUACGGGAAUUUUUUCGGAAGUUAGAAAGAAGGAGCCUAGAGAGAAAAUGGAAAUCAUGCAACUCGUCUCUUAUGAGAGUGUGUUGUGCAACAUAAAGCUUGUUUUAAAGAAUUGGGGUACCUUCCUCAGGACUGUGUGAAAGAUCUAAGCAACUUUGCCAGCAUACUUUCAGGGAACGUGUUUCUGAACCACAAGUACACAAAACAGACCUUGAAACGCUUACCCUUUCCUGUAACCAGGGGCAGAAUGGAAUUUGCCCUCUUGUCUGCACUGUGUGACUGUCAGAAUGACUCAUUUUCUUUGAUCCUGUGUUUUCUGGCAUUUGGACAGUGUACCCCAAGAAGUUAAAAUCAUCAUCCUUGCUUGGCGCUCUGUGGCAGCUGCCUGCCUGGUGGCUUCUGGUAGUUCCGUGAAACGUGUGGGCAGAAGAACAGAAGGGCUGAGGAAGGAAUAGAGUGACUGGAAUAGCAUUCGCCGGCAGAAUGUUUGUAGCUGAAGGUGGAGCAUAUCCAGAGGACACUGUUAGGAAUAUUUUAAAAUCACAGGUGCACUUCUGCUCCAUGCAAUUUAAAGGCACACAGCAAAUGCAAUUUGUAUAACUGUUUCACAAAGUGGCUAGAUGGCUUCCUUAUUUCUAAAUUGGAGUUCUUGUGGGCCCUCUGUAGGCAAAGGGAAGGUAAGCUGGGUCUCAUUCUUGCAAGAAUGAGUGAGUCUAAAGCAACUCUGUUUCUCCAGCACCUGGAAAGAGCCUGUAGGAACUCAAGAAAGGUUUUUUGAAGAAAUGAAUAAAUAGAAAUGUCAUGUUUUCCCACUUGAGGCUAACUCAAUUGUGUAGAAAUUUUUACUCAUGCCUGUUAACCCCACCACAGUUACUUGGUUCAGCUGUGAGGCAGGACGUGAUUGCUUCAUGCAUAGGUGGAUUCUGAGCGACUUUCAGAGGCGA